AGAUUGAACGCUGGCGGAAUGCUUUACACAUGCAAGUCGAGCGGCAGCGCGGGGCAACCUGGCGGCGAGCGGCGAACGGGUGAGUAAUGCAUCGGAACAUGUCCAUGUCGUGGGGAUAGCCCGGCGAAAGCCGGAUUAAUACCGCAUACGCCCGAGAGGGGAAAGUGGGGGACCGCAAGGCCUCACGCGAUUGGGUUGCCGAUGUCCGAUUAGCUAGUUGGCGGGUAAAGCCCACCAAGGCGAUGAUCGGUAGCUGGUCUGAGAGGAU
rnacentral:rRNA from 1 species